AAGGUGAAAUGCUUAUUGGUGGUUUCAAAUAUUAUUAGUAUGAAUGUAGGGAGCUCAAUCUUGGGGGUUAUCCUAGUACUCUAAUGGUCUUUCAUUCUUAAGUAAAGAAGACUGAGAUAUGUAGUGAGAGUAACAAGAGGUCUUAGUCUAUGCAUUUCCAAUAUGGCCUACGGUGUAGUACGAACUAACCUUGUGAGGGUAGUAGGGUGAAACACAUUGACAAUGACUUUGCAAAGCAGAAGCCACCACAAGUGCACAAUCCGC
rnacentral:lncRNA from 1 species